ACAGGUUCUUACUGUGUGCACAAUCUAUCUGUUGUAUGUGUGAAGAUCUUUUGCAGGGAAGAUAUUCCCUGCUGUUCAACUAUCAUGUUCCCUUAACGUCUCUUUCCACGCUGAUUGCCUGCCACCACUGUGUGACAUGGGUGGUCCUCAUUUUCUCUGCUUACGUUUAGAAACAGGACUCAAUUUUUCAGAAAGCACCCAAGGAUCAUGGAGUCACCAUGUGUGAAUUGCUGAAGGGAGUAUCCAUUGUCUGCCAGAAGAUUCUUUGAACUUUAAAAACACGAGAACCCAGUGGUAUGGUUCACUUCAAACAACAAACGAUGCCUCAGAUGUGACAGGCUCUUUGUCUCAGCAUCUAGCCAGCGGAAAUAUUCCACUUUGUCCUGGCAUUUCCAGCAAAUGUGCUCUGGCAGAUGAGGUGCUAACCUUAGAAAGCAAAAGCAGGAUUCCCAUGCAGCUCAUCUGUGGCACAUACUAAACAUUCUCUGGGAGCCAGGAGUGGUUUUAUUUGCUGUGGGGCUGGCAGAGAAGAGGCGGAGUCCCCAGCACCCUGAAGCCCAGCUUCCCAGGAGCGUGCCAGACUCUGCCCCUGGCAGGGAGCUGGCUCUACCAGGUGUGCUGGGACCCAGCCAGGUUGUCUGAGUCAGUCCAAGAGAAAUGCCAUUGCCUCUUCCUCUUUGCAGGUCUGCCGUUCAGUUUUUAGCAGGAAGAGAAAGUCAUCCUAAAAGGAACACUAACCCUGGCGUUGAGCAGUUUGCUGUUAACACGUCCAGGGAUUUCUCAAGAAGAGUGAAAUGGUGAGUGGGAGUUGUCCUGUCGAGAUGGUUGGGUCUUGUUUGAAUGGAAGUAGUGGUGGGGAGGUCAGAGUGCAGGAGAGGUGAGGCCACCAGACAGCUAAUCUAAUCUGUUGGAUGAAUAGCUCCCUGGGAGUGUUUAACCCUCCCUGUUGUCUGCCCUGACCAGAUCAAUGAAGAUGGCCCCUUCAUUAGCUCUGCAUUUAUUUAUGGUGCAACUAAUGGUUUCAGACACCUGCUUGGGUUUUAGCAUCUGCCCCAGCUUUUCUGUCCUGGAAUUAUCGCCUGGUCUUUGGGCGGUUGGAGAAAAGAGGAGGCUUGUGUCCUGGAUCAUGCAAUGGACCCUUCUUAAGGAGAUUUCCUGUCCUGGGAGAUGGGACCUGCUGAAAAACACAAGCUCUUUGUUUAGAAAUCGCCAGGUGAGAGUGGCUGGGAAUGAAACCUCCUUCUUCCCAGCAGCUAGCUGGCUCUGAGGCUAAAGCAGCAUUCUCCUCUGAAAUGUAAUAAUCAAUUAAUUUCAUGAAUAUUCAUUGAAAACAUGCUCUCAACAGAUCUUAGGUCAAUAGCAGAGCUAGGAGAGCACAGCAAAAAGUUACUUGCUUACAAGGCAUACAGACAGAAAUGAUAGAUUAGUGGCUUUGGUCUCUCUAACCUCUGUUGAUCUUCUUUCACUUCCCCAUAUUGGUUCCUUUGGGAUGUCCCUUUGUCUCCUCUCACAGCCCUACCCAGUGAAAGGCACAUAGCUUCUGUUGACUCCAUCCAAGGGCUGGUCAGGUGUUACCUCUAGUGCUGUAUAGGCACAGAAGAGGAGAUAGUUGCUGCCCAUGAGGAACUGCAGUUUAAGCAAGUGUGAGAACAGCUACAGGAAAGGGAGUACUAUCUAUAUGCUGGAGCAUUGAUGCUUAGAGGUGGGAGCAUCUGUGGUAAAUCUGAGGAGUAAAUCAGGAGUAUGUGAUCACUGGAUAUGUGUCUUAACUGCAUUUGUCCAUCUCCCCUCUGCUCCCUUCAGUGAGAAGCUCUCUUGACUGAGCUGCAGGGUCGCAGCGAUGCUGAUUUUGGCUGGGGAAGAGGCCUGUCUUCUUGUGAUCUCUCCUGCAUACAGAUAGAUGUUGUUUGCCACUGUUUUGUUCAUUGCUUCGGAUGAAUCAACAUCCCGAUGGGCAGGAAGAACAUGAAUAUGAAUCAUCCCCUCCCAGACCUCCAAAUGACUUUUAUAUGACCACAGUGCAGGGGACAACAAAUAUGUACGUAAAUGAAAAUCAAGACAGACACUGCAAAGCAGAGAUCCAAACACAACCAGAGCCUAUGAGGAUGAAGAAACACAGAAGAAAGCCACCUGUGGUGGAAUCCGUUUAUGAAAACCAUCCAUCCUGUCACUGAAAAAAACCUGCACUGAAUAGUGGCUGGGGCGAGAAAUAACAGGCACAAUCUUUUUCCUGGACACCAGGGGUCACACGGUGGCAGUGAGAAUUUUCUCUUUGCGUGUACAUGAAAUUCUAUGGAAAAUGGGACAGAGACUUUGGAUGGGGGAAGAACUGUUUGAAAUGAUGCCUCUACGAUGUGGAAGCAAUAUCAGAUUCCCCUGGAGCACCCAGCCUCUCUGGGAGAGAUGUUUUUGCUGUCCCCCUAAAUUAAUUCAUUUUAAUAAAGAACAUAUAAAUCCUUGCAGUGAUCCUGAUGGUAGAAAAGAGCAGCCAGAGAGUUCGCUGGAGUCCUUAUCACUCUGUGCCUGAGCUCCUCGCAACACCCUGCAAAGACAGGGAUGCGCUCUUCCUUUGGCAGAAGGAGUCCAGACCAUAAGUGAGUUGAAGUGAUAUGCCCAAGAAAACUGGAAUGAGAAUGCAACUCCAGCUGCAGAACUUUGCCCCCAUGAUGGCAGCUUCCCUUAGUUCUCAACUGUUCC